UCCAUCGUGAGGUGGAAUCUGAAGGAAGCCGGAGGCAAAAGCACGAGCCAAGGUACACGAACUGGAUUUGAGGCAGGAGCAGUCGGAUGAGUUGCCCAUACACAACGAAAUCCAAAGCCGCCAAGGGCUAAUCCUGUAGACUCCAGUGGUUGCGGGCGGAAAGAUGACGUU
rfam:Paenibacillus yonginensis strain DCY84 chromosome, complete genome.